rnacentral:tRNA from 1 species
GGAGGGGUACCCAAGUGGCCAAAGGGGGCGGACUGUAAAUCCGCUGGCGCAGCCUUCGGAGGUUCGAAUCCUCCCCCCUCCACCA